AGCAGUCGCCGCGGGAAUACGUAGGUCCCGAGCGUUGUCCGGAUUUAUUGGGCGUAAAGCGAGCGCAGGCGGUUAGAUAAGUCUGAAGUUAAAGGCUGUGGCUUAACCAUAGUACGCUUUGGAAACUGUUUAACUUGAGUGCAAGAGGGGAGAGUGGAAUUCCAUGUGUAGCGGUGAAAUGCGUAGAUAUAUGGAGGAACACCGGUGGCGAAAGCGGCUCUCUGGUCAGUCACUGACGCUGAGGCUCGAAAGCGUGGGUAGCGAACAGGAUUAGAUACCCCGGUAGUCCCUGUCUCUUAUACA
rnacentral:rRNA from 1 species